rnacentral:rRNA from 1 species
AGAGCGAACGCUGGCGGCAGGCUUAACACAUGCAAGUCUAGGGGGUGUAGCAAUACAUCACCGGCGGACGGGUGCGUAACACGUGGGAAUAUACCUUUUGGUUCGGAACAACGCAGGGAAACUUGCGCUAAUACCGAAUGUGCCCUUACGGGGAAAGAUUUAUCGCCAAAGGAUUAGCCCGCGUAGGAUUAGCUAGUUGGUGAGGUAAUGGCUCACCAAGGCUCCGAUCCUUAGCUGUUCUGAGAGGAAGAUCAGCCACACUGGGACUGAGACACGGCCCAGACUCCUACGGGAGGCAGCAGUUGGGAAUCUUGGACAAUGGGGGAAACCCUGAUCCAGCCAUGCCGCGUGAGUGAUGAAGGCCUUCGGGUUGUAAAACUCUUUCGACGGGACGAUAAUGACGGUACCCGUAGAAGAAGCUCCGGCUAACUUCGUGCCAGCAGCCGC